rnacentral:rRNA from 1 species
CCUACGGGAGGCAGCAGUGGGGAAUAUUGCACAAUGGGGGAAACCCUGAUGCAGCGACGCCGCGUGAGUGAAGAAGUAUUUCGGUACGUAAAGCUCUAUCAGCAGGGAAGAAAAUGACGGUACCUGACUAAGAAGCCCCGGCUAACUACGUGCCAGCAGCCGCGGUAAUACGUAGGGGGCAAGCGUUAUCCGGAUUUACUGGGUGUAAAGGGAGCGUAGACGGCAGCGCAAGUCUGGAGUGAAAUCCCAUGGCUUAACCAUGGAACUGCAUUGGAAACUGUGCAGCUAGAGUGCAGGAGAGGUAAGCGGAAUUCCUAGUGUAGCGGUGAAAUGCGUAGAUAUUAGGAGGAACACCAGUGGCGAAGGCGGCUUACUGGACUGUAACUGACGUUGAGGCUCGAAAGCGUGGGGAGCAAACAGGAUUAGAUACCCCGGUAGUC